rnacentral:tRNA from 1 species
CCGGUCGGUGGUGAGCCGGGCGGUCACCCGGUGGGUCGGCAGUCUAUCGACCCUGUUGCGUGUCGAUCAUUGCCGCGCGACCGGA